rnacentral:misc_RNA from 1 species
GGUGCCUGGACAUGAGAUUGCAGGAAUUGUGAAAAAUGUUGGCUCAAAUGUUCAACGAAUUAAAGUUGGAGAUCAUGUUGGGGUAGGAACUUACGUGAAUUCUUGCAGACAAUGCGAGUACUGUGAAGAUUGUCAAGAAGUUAGUUGCACAAGUGGAUGCACUCAUACUUUUAAUUCAAUUGAUUUUGACGGUACAAUUACAAAGG